rnacentral:rRNA from 1 species
CCUACGGGAGGCAGCAGUGGGGGAUAUUGCACAAUGGGGGGAACCCUGAUGCAGCGACGCCGCGUGGGUGAAGGAGCGUUUCGGCGCGUUAAGCCCUAUCGGCAGGGAAGAAGGAGGACGGUACCUGACUAAGAAGCCCCGGCUAACUACGUGCCAGCCGCCGCGGUAAUACGGAGGGGGCAAGCGUAAUCCGGAUUUACUGGGGGUAAAGGGGGCACAGGGGGUUGCGCAAGCCAGGAGUGAAAGCCCGGGGCCCAACCCCGGGACUGAUCUUGGAACUGCGCGGCGGGAGUGCAGGAGGGGGAGGCGGAAUUCCUGGUGUAGCGGUGAAAUGCGUAGAGAUCAGGAGGAACACCGGUGGCGAAGGCGGCCUGCUGGACUGCGACUGACGUUGAGGCCCGAAAGCGUGGGGAGCAAACAGGAUUAGAUACCCCAGUAGUC